GGGGAAUAUUGCACAAUGGGGGAAACCCUGAUGCAGCGACGCCGCGUGAGUGAAGAAGUAUUUCGGUAUGUAAAGCUCUAUCAGCAGGGAAGAAAAUGACGGUACCUGACUAAGAAGCCCAGGCUAACUACGUGACAGCAGCCGCGGUAAAACGUAGGGGGCAAGCGUUAUCCGGAUUUACUGGGUGUAAAGGGAGCGUAGGUGGUGUGGUAAGUCAGGUGUGAAAGCCCGGGGCUCAACUCCGGGAUUGCACUUGAAACUAUCAUACUAGAGUGCAGGAGAGGUAAGUGGAAUUCCUAGUGUAGCGGUGAAAUGCGUAGAUAUUAGGAGGAACACCAGUGGCGAAGGCGGCUUACUGGACUGUAACUGACACUGAGGCUUGAAAGCGUGGGGAGCAAAC
rnacentral:rRNA from 1 species